GGACGUGUGCCUGAACUUACACAAGGAUUACUUUGAUAGAGUAAACAACAGAGGUUAAAAUCCUCUCACUUCC
rnacentral:tRNA from 1 species